rnacentral:misc_RNA from 1 species
GCUUCCCAAGUACUUCAAGCACAAUAAUUUCUCAAGUUUUGUCAGGCAGCUUAAUACUUAUGGAUUCAGGAAGAUUGAUCCUGAUCAAUGGGAGUUUGCUAAUGAAGAAUUUAUAAGAGGACAGAGACAUCUUCUAAGUAAUAUUCGCCGGCGAAAGCCGAUCCAUAGCCAUUCAAUGCAGAACCAAGUUAACAACUCCCCAAUGACAGAAACAGAGAAAAGGGAAUAUGAAGAGAAAAUUAAUCGACUAAAGCACGAGAAGAGCUUGCUUCAGCUGGAGCUACAGAGACAUGAAUCCGAGAAGCAGGCCUUUGGGUGUCAAAUUAUGUCAUUAGGUGAGAGAUUGCAGGGUUUGGAGCGAAGGCAGAUUCAGUUAGUUUCUUUCUUGGCUCAAAUUGCAAAGAAACCUGGAUUUGCCUCCAUUUUCAUGCAGCAAUCAGAAUACCAUAGCAAAAAGAGGAGAUUAAUUGAACAUGAUCCUUUCAAUGUCGAUCACGACAUGGAAGAGAAGGAGAGUUUGCAUUUUUUGAAAGACUCAAAGUCGAAUGUGGAGAAGUUGGAUUCAUCCAUAAAAUGUAUUGAAGAUUUCUUUUAUGGAGCAGGGGAAGCUUUUACGCAAGAUAUGCAGGAUUUCACCCUAGCCUCGCAGCCUUCACCAAUUAUUUUUAGAGAGCCAAAUGCAUCUUCCAUAGAUGGAGAAACUUACUCCCCUAGAUCAUAUCAAUCUUCACUGCAUUCUAUGGAUCUUCCGUCAUCUCCUGAGCUACCUAUAUGUAUCGAUCACAUCAAUAGCCCGAAAACUCCACCUCAAUCUCCACAGUUUGAUGUAAACUGCAAGCCUACCGGCAGUGCUCCUGUGGUUGAAGCCGUAAAAGAAUCAGAAUCAGAAUUGGAGACAACAAAUUCGUCUACUCCCACGGGAGGAGCAAAUGAUCAUUUCUGGGAAUAUUUCCUUACAGAAGCUCCUGGUUCUACUAGCACACAAGAACUCGAUCCUGGAUUCCAUCGAAGAACAAGUGAUGAGAGACGUUGGUGGAAUGCAAACACCAUAAAUGAUCUUACAAAACAUAUGGAGCACCUUGCCCCAACUGAAAGAACUUGAUCUUUGUUGUUCUUGGUUGAUUCUUGCAAAAUUGCUGCUAGCCUUUCCUAACUUGGUGUAAAAUUAGGUUAUAGAAGACGUGGAAUUGUUAUAGUCAUUGUAGAUUGCAACUAUGCUAGACGUUCUUCCUUUUUUUUCUUAUCAAAUUUUGGGAGUGAGUGCCUAUUAGUUUGAUGUUGCCGUAGCUUACAUGUACGUUUGGGGGCAGCUUUUGGUAAAUAUGGCAAUUGAAUGAAAUUUUA